GCCUCGGUAGUGUAAUGGAUCAGCACGGCGGAUCGGAUAUUUGUAAAUGCAGGUUCGAGUCCCACCUGAGGUU
rfam:Dictyocaulus viviparus strain HannoverDv2000 D_viviparus-1.0_Cont293.17, whole genome shotgun sequence.